AUUGAACGCUGGCGGCAUGCCUUACACAUGCAAGUCGAACGGUAACAGGUUAAGCUGACGAGUGGCGAACGGGUGAGUAAUAUAUCGGAACGUGCCCAGUCGUGGGGGAUAACGUGGCGAAAGCUACGCUAAUACCGCAUACGAUCUACGGAUGAAAGCGGGGGAUCGCAAGACCUCGCGCGAUUGGAGCGGCCGAUAUCAGAUUAGGUUGUUGGUGAGGUAAAAGCUCACCAAGCCUGCGAUCUGUAGCUGGUCUGAGAGGACGACCAGCCACACUGGAACUGAGACACGGUCCAGACUCCUACGGGAGGCAGCAGUGGGGAAUUUUGGACAAUGGACGCAAGUCUGAUCCAGCAAUGCCGCGUGCAGGACGAAGGCCUUCGGGUUGUAAACUGCUUUUGUACGGAACGAAACGGUGAGCUCUAAUACGGUUUGCUAAUGACGGUACCGUAAGAAUAAGCACCGGCUAACUACGUGCCAGCCGCCGCGGUAA
rnacentral:rRNA from 1 species